UGGCGGGCGGGCACGGGGGUGAGAUUUAUCCUGGCUCAGGAUGAACGCUGGCGGCGUGCUUAACACAUGCAAGUCGAACGAUGAAGCUCCAGCUUGCUGGGGUGGAUUAGUGGCGAACGGGUGAGUAACACGUGAGUAACCUUCCCUUGACUCUGGGAUAAGCCCGGGAAACUGAGGUCUAAUACCGGAUAUGACCUCCUCUCGCAUGGUGUGUUGGUGGAAAGAUUUAUCGGUCAAGGAUGGACUCGCGGCCUAUCAGCUUGUUGGUGAGGUAAUGGCUCACCAAGGCUACGACGGGUAGCCGGCCUGAGAGGGUGACCGGCCACACUGGGACUGAGACACGGCCCAGACUCCUACGGGAGGCAGCAGUGGGGAAUAUUGCACAAUGGGCGCAAGCCUGAUGCAGCGACGCCGAGUGAG
rnacentral:rRNA from 1 species